rnacentral:rRNA from 1 species
GACGAACGCUGGCGGCGUGCUUAACACAUGCAAGUCGAACGGAAAGGCCCUGCUUUUGUGGGGUGCUCGAGUGGCGAACGGGUGAGUAACACGUGAGUAGCCUGCCCUUGACUUUGGGAUAACUUCAGGAAACUGGGGCUAAUACCGGAUAGGAGCUCCUGCUGCAUGGUGGGGGUUGGAAAGUUUCGGCGGUUGGGGAUGGACUCGCGGCUUAUCAGCUUGUUGGUGGGGUAGUGGCUUACCAAGGCUUUGAAGGGUAGCCGGCCUGAGAGGGUGACCGGCGACAUGGGGACUGAGAUACGGACCAGACGCCUACGGGAGGCAGCAGGGGGGAAUAUUGCACAAUGGGCGGAAGCCUGAUGCAGAAACGCCGCGUGCGGGAUGACGGCCUUCGGGUUGUAAACAGCUUUCGCCUGUGACGAAGCGUGAGUGACGGUAAUGGGUAAAGAAGCACCGGCUAACUACGUG